rnacentral:pre_miRNA from 1 species
AAUAAGUUUAUUUAUGGGUUUGUCUUCAAUACUUGACCAUCCGUUUUAUUUAAAAUUUUGUUAUGAUCAGUAUUUUUGUUGUUAUUAGAUGAUAAAAACAUGUAUAAUAUUUUGUGUGUGAGUUAUUUCUUUUAAUUUUUUAUAUUUUUUUAAAUAAAACGGACGAUCACCCGUUAAAUACAGAAUACAUAAAUAAACUUAUU